GUCGAUGUAGCUCAGCCGGAUAGAGCAUGCGCCUUCUAAGCGCACGGUCGGGGGUUCGAAUCCCUCCGUCGACGCCA
rnacentral:tRNA from 1 species